GUAGUCUCGCACAGAUGCAUAUCAAUAAGCGGAGGAAAAGAAACUAACAAGGAUUCCCUCAGUAACGGCGAGUGAAGCGGGAAGAGCUCAAAUUUGAAAUCUUGAAAGGUCACCUUUCACGAAUUGUAGUUUAAAGAAGUGUUUUCUGUUACGAUCGUAAUAUAAGUUCUUUGGAAUAGGACAUCACAGAGGGUGAGAAUCCCGUCUAUGAUUGCGAUUUGUAGCUUUGUGAUACACUUUCAAAGAGUCGGGUUGUUUGGGAAUGCAGCCCAAAACGGGAGGUAAAUUUCUUCUAAGGCUAAAUAUUGGCGAGAGACCGAUAGCGAACAAGUACCGUGAGGGAAAGAUGAAAAGAACUUUGAAAAGAGAGUUAAAUAGUACGUGAAAUUGUCAAAAGGGAAGCGUUUAACACCAGUGUUGCUUUCUGAAAAUCAACCUCUGUUAGCUUUAUGCAUGUUUGUUUAGACCUAAUCAGCUAUCUUGCAUGUUCUAUUGUCUUGCAGUGGUGCACUUUUCAGUUUACAGGUCAACAUCAGUUUUUUUUACCGUAAAAAAGUUAAAGAAAGGUAGCUCAUGGCUCCGGUCGUGAGUGUUAUAGUCUUUUUCCUAUGCGGUAGGAGAGACUGAGGUCUGCAGUGUAGGCUAUUUGGCUAGAUACUCAGGUGCUAUGUGAUACCAUUUCAUAAACAACUUGUUGAUUAUGUUUUGUCUAUUGCAUACUCGCUUGUACUAUCAUACCUACGCUUAGGAUGUUGAGUCGUAGAGCACGCAG
rnacentral:rRNA from 1 species